rnacentral:lncRNA from 1 species
GUAGUCCGAUAAUAACGGCGUGGGAUCUGACCCAUAUGAUAAGCUCUUGGUAUCUGCCUCCUCAAAUGCGCCGAUUUGUGUCAGUGAUCAACCAACCAUUUACAGGUUCGUAUUCAAACUUCAGUUUCAAUUUUUCCAAUUCACUGUUAAAAUUCGCCCAAAAAUUACGUAUUUUGCUGAAGAACAAUUUAGUAUCUGAUAUAAGAAAUGGAUUAUACCAAUAUCACUAGGCUGGGCGUAAAUGUCAAUUCCGAAUUUUAUUUUACAAAUUUUAAUUCUAUUUGUUUCUAAGAUUGUUCAUAUUUGCAGUUUAUUUUAUAGCUAGAUUGAAUGAGAUUGCUAAAGAAUGUGAGAGAUGGCAUUGAUAUUAUUUAUUAUGAUAUGAAUAUGGAUAUUUAAUCCCCACAACAGGAUGUACUGUUUCUAAGUCCGUAUAAUACAAUUAAAUAUUUAAAUUGCUGGUAUUAUUAUAAAAAUAAAUAAAUAAAUAACAAACUAUUUAAAUGAAUGAAUGUUCAAUGACAUACAAUCUUUAUAUUCUAAUUAGAAACGUACCAACUUACCAUUGUAUUUUUUUUUCAUGAUAUUUAUGUGAAGUUACUCUCGUAAAUAAUCUAUCACUCCAAUUGUCCAUCCUUGGCAAAUUAAAGUAAUGUCGUCAUAAAAUUUCCCCACUUUCCUGUAUGUUUUCUACAAGUUUGAAGAGCUAUGUAUAGAUUAUGUUUUCUUAUGAACCAUUGAUAUGGAAUUUGAAUUUGUAAUGCUUUAGUAAUUCAACGAUCUUGAAGUAGUGAUUGGUUUAAUUACAGAUGGACAGGCUCAUAGCUAUGUGAAAGUACCCUUCUCGUUAUAUAUGUAUCUACUUGUCUGUUUUACUUUAAAUGUUGGGUCGUUCAGGAAGCCUUCAUGGCUUAAUAAAUUUUCUGGAAUUUGUUUCCAUUAUUUGAAGUAGAUAACUUAUAAUUGCUUUGGUAUGGUUUUACAAUUUUUUAUUUUCAGGAAUCUUAAAUUUUCACUUAUGAUAUAGUAAUUUACCAGUGUUAGUUACUAAAAAAAUUUAUACCUGAUUUUAAGUCUCUGAAGACUAUCGGAUAUUGAAGUUAGCUGGACAAAGUGCCCAAAUUUUCUGCUUCACUGGAAAUACUCGGGAGAUUUAUCAGCAUAGAAUACGAAGGGUUAGUUUUUGAAAGUUUCUUUUAGCCAAAGAUUUCAUGUUAUAACUUCGGUUUCCACUCUCUUAUUGUUGCUGAUCUGUUCAUGAUUCCAUCAGAAGAAAUAAAAAAUGCAAGCAACGCAUUUGCCUUUUAACAUUUAAACUCUUGGACAAAUAUUAGCUUGUAAUAUUACAUAUGUUGUAAGUAUAGUCACAAUUGAAGUUCUAAUGCAGUAGAAUUUUGUUGGUAUAACUUAUUCUCAUUCCGCUCUUAACAAAGAGAGAACCAGGUUUCAUCUGAAUGCUGAAGUUCCAUUACUUCUCUAAUGUAAAAACCAAAAAAUGAUCUAGCAGCUUCGAAUGAACAUGUUCCACUCCUUUUCCCUCGACUGGACCGUCUCAGCACCAGCUGAAACCAUUCAAGUCGAAUUGCUUGCAUCUUGAAGCAGUGUCGUUUUCAUCAUGGAUAUUCAGGUCUAGCUUUGGUGCAAAGCAGGACAGCUGAAAUCCUUCAAAGAUAUUUUCAUUCUCUGGUUUAAUCGAAUCUCUUCUUUUGGCGGUUUGGUCAAGAAAAUUGACAUCCGCAUUCCUCUUCUUAAAUACUUUUUCCGUAUAGCUGCUGUUGCCAUUCCAGUUUCCUCCCUGAACUCCAACACUCAUCGAUAAAUCACUAGCAUGUACUUCUACAUCAAAUGCUUUCUUUGAAUCGUUUACUAUUGGUGACAGGGACUUUCUAUUCUCUUUCAGGUCUUUGCACCAUCUGAAUUCAGUCUCUUGGUCCCUUUGGGAACCUCCAAUGGAGGUCAAACAGCUAUCUAAUGAACAAUUCGUCGGCUGGUUUGAUUGUGUUUGCUGUGGACAGAAGCCUGAAACAU